AGGUCACAAACGGAUGUCUGGAGCAUUUGUCAUGCAUCUCCAUGAACCAGCCGUAUCAUGUGUCUGAACAGAAAUGGGUUAUGAUUCACAAGAGUUAGGAAUUAAUUUUUUUGGUUCCAUGAGGAAUUCUGAUCGCCAUCUGCUAUCUGUCAAACUGUUUUAGUACGAUACUCAACACAUGUGGCAAGUGGAUCAAGCGUGAGGUUAAAUCUAUUCUAGAUAAGCAGGUAAAAUUUAAAAUAAUGUCAAGUAAUAUAUAAGUUGGUAGUUGAAUUUUUUUGCAAAUGGAUGAAUUUGGCUUGUAGAGAACCAACUUCAAUUUUCUUUUCAGCUUCAGACACGAGGGGAAAAAAUAGGAUUUAUUAUUGGUUUGUGAAAAUUUACAUCUAGUAUCGUAAUAAAUUAAUAAUUAGUCAUUUUUUCGUAACAAUGGGGAGGAUUAAUGAUUUGAGAAGCUUACGUAUAUAUGAAUGUCAUACUAUGAAGUUGAGUUCAUGUCAAGGAGAUCUACUGUGGAAGUCAUGAUGGAGAAUUAUAGGGUAACCAGUUUGGCAGUCGAACAUCAUCUUGCGAGAUAAUCAAAUAUUGAGCGCCUCUUUUAUUUUAUUUUCAUCUUCCCUACACCUCUCGCUUUCUUCCUUUUGAUGGUGAAUAUGAAUCUCUCUCUUGCAGAUUCCUGAUGUUAGAACA
rnacentral:lncRNA from 1 species